GGAAGCAAAAGUCGUAACAAGAUUUCCGUAGGUGAACCUGCGGAAGGAUCAUUAUUGUAUAACCGAGGUGCGAGGGCUGUCGCUGACCCGAAAGGUCGUGCACGCCCGAGUGCCCUCACACACAUCCAUCUCACCCCUAUGUGCACCACCGCGUGGGUCCCCCUUUGGCUUGUUCGGAGGGGGGCUUACGUUUUCACACAAACUUUGUAUGCAGUGUAGAAUGUAUUUUUUGUUUUUGCGAUCACGCAAUCAAUACAACUUUCAACAACGGAUCUCUUGGCUCUC
rnacentral:misc_RNA from 1 species